AUAUUAAUAAGCGGAGGAAAAGAAACUAACCAGGAUUCCCUCAGUAACGGCGAGUGAAGCGGGAAUUGCUCAAAUUUGAAAUCUCCAGGGGCAACCUUGGCGAAUUGUAGUUUAGAGAAGCGCUUGCUGGGGUGGGACGCUGUCCAAGUUCUUUGGAACGAGACAUCAGAGAGGGUGAGAAUCCCGUAUCUGGCAGCGAGCUUUCCAUCUAUACGGGGCGUUUUCAAAGAGUCGG
rnacentral:rRNA from 1 species